UACGUAGGGUGCAAGCGUUAAUCGGAAUUACUGGGCGUAAAGCGUGCGCAGGCGGUUAUAUAAGACAGUUGUGAAAUCCCCGGGCUCAACCUGGGAACUGCAUCUGUGACUGUAUAGCUAGAGUACGGUAGAGGGGGAUGGAAUUCCGCGUGUAGCAGUGAAAUGCGUAGAUAUGCGGAGGAACACCGGUGGCGAAGGCGGCAUUCUGGACCAUAACUGACACUGAGAGACGAAAGCCAGGGGAGCAAACGGG
rnacentral:rRNA from 1 species